CGGGAUGCUUAGUACGGCGAGUGAAGCGGCAAAAGCUCAAAUUUGAAAUCUGGUACCUUCGGUGCCCGAGUUGUAAUUUGGAGAGGGCAACUUUGGGGCCGUUCCUUGUCUAUGUUCCUUGGAACAGGACGUCAUAGAGGGUGAGAAUCCCGUGUGGCGAGGAGUGCGGUUCUUUGUAAAGUGCCUUCGAAGAGUCGAGUUGUUUGGGAAUGCAGCUCUAAGUGGGUGGUAAAUUCCAUCUAAAGCUAAAUAUUGGCGAGAGACCGAUAGCGAACAAGUACAGUGAUGGAAAGAUGAAAAGAACUUUGAAAAGAGAGUGAAAAAGUACGUGAAAUUGUUGAAAGGGAAGGGCAUUUGAUCAGACAUGGUGUUUUGUGCCCUCUGCUCCUUGUGGGUAGGGGAAUCUCGCAUUUCACUGGGCCAGCAUCAGUUUUGGUGGCAGGAUAAAUCCAUAGGAAUGUAGCUUGCCUCGGUAAGUAUUAUAGCCUGUGGGAAUACUGCCAGCUGGGACUGAGGACUGCGACGUAAGUCAAGGAUGCUGGCAUAAUGGUUAUAUGCCGCCCGUCU
rnacentral:rRNA from 1 species